CGAAAAGUUACUAAGGGCGUACGGUGGAUGCCUUGGCUCUCAGAGGCGACGAAGGACGCGAUAGGCUGCGAUAAGCCACGGGGAGGAGCAUAAUAUCCUGUGAUCCGUGGAUCUCCGAAUGGGGCAACCCAGCUGGUUGAAGACCAGUUAUCCUGAAAAGGAAGCAAACCCAGGGAACUGAAACAUCUAAGUACCUGGAGGAAUAGAAAACAAGUAGUGAUUCCCCUAGUAGUGGCGAGCGAACAGGGAAAAGCCCAAACCGGCGGCGUUUCGGCGCAACCGGGGUUGUAGGACCACAACGUGGACUCAAGAUGUGUAGUGGAACCCUUCUGGAAAGUUGGACCAUAGCGGGUGACAGUCCCGUACACGAAAUGCAUCUUGUACCUAGUGGUAUCCUGAGUAGGGCGGGACACGUGAGAUCCUGUCUGAAUCUGCCAGAACCAUCUGGCAAGGCUAAAUACUGCUGAGAGACCGAUAGCGAACCAGUACUGCGAAGGAAAGGUGAAAAGCACCUCGAACAGAGGAGUGAAAUAGACCCUGAAACCGUGCGCCUACAAGCGGUCGGAGCCCAUUUAUGGGUGACGGCGUGCCUUUUGCAUAAUGAGCCUACGAGUUGCUCGUCACUGGCAAGGUUAAGGGGUUAAGCCCCGCAGCCGAAGCGAAAGCAAGUCUUAACAGGGCGCUUAGUCAGUGGCGGCAGACGCGAAACCUGAGUGAUCUAUCCAUGGCCAGGAUGAAGUUCCGGUAACACGGAAUGGAGGUCCGAACUGGUAGACGUUGAAAAGUCUUCGGAUGAGCUGUGGAUAGGGGUGAAAGGCUUAUCAAACUGGGAGAUAGCUCGUACUCUUCGAAAUGCAUUUAGGUGCAGCCUCGGAUGUACAGUUAUGGAGGUAGAGCUACUGAUCGGGCUAGGGGGCUUCACCGCCUACCAAACCCGGACAAACUCCGAAUGCCAUAACUUCAGUAUCCGGGAGUGAGCGCAUGGGUGCUAAGGUCCGUGCGCGAGAGGGAAAGAACCCAGACCAUCGGCUAAGGUCCCUAAAUAUACGCUAAGUUGAUCUAACGAAGUCGGAUCGCACUGACAGCUAGGAUGUUGGCUUGGAAGCAGCCAUUCAUUUAAAGAGUGCGUAACAGCUCACUAGUCGAGCGAUCCGGCGUGGAUAAUGAUCGGGCAUCAAGUGUAUUACCGAAGCUGUGGGCUCCAUUGGAGCGGUAGAAGAGCAUUCUGGUCUGCGUUGAAGGUGGGUUGUAAAGCCUGCUGGAGCGUCCAGAAAAGAAAAUGUAGGCAUAAGUAACGAUAAGGCAGGUGAAAAACCUGCCCGCCGAUAGACUAAGGUUUCCUGAUCAACGUUAAUCGGAUCAGGGUUAGUCGGGACCUAAGGUGUAGCCGACAGGCGAAGCUGAUGGACAACUGGUCAAUAUUCCAGUACCGACUUGUAUUGCGAUGGGGGGACGAAGGAGUGAAAGGCCCGCGCACGAACGGUAGUGUGCGUUAAAGAUCGUAGGUAUAGGGAUGGUAGGUAAAUCCGCCGACUCUGCUGAAAAUCGACAGUACCACAAGCCCUCGGGCAAGUGGAUAGUGGCCCUAAUCAGACUUCCGAGAAAAACCUCUAAGCUUCAGAUACAAGCCGCCCGUACCGCAAACCGACACAGGUAGUCAAGGAGAGUAUCCUGAGGCGCUCGAGUGAUCCGUGGCUAAGGAACUAGGCAAAUUAAGCGCGUAACUUCGGGAUAAGCGCUACCAACGCAAGUUGGUUUCAAUGAAAAGGUCCAGGCGACUGUU
rnacentral:rRNA from 1 species